rnacentral:rRNA from 1 species
UACGGGGGGGGGGCAAGCGUUGUUCGGAAUUACUGGGCGUAAAGGGCGCGUAGGCGGCCCGGUAAGUCAAAGGUGAAAUCCCUCGGCUCAACUGAGGAACUGCCUUUGAAACUGUCGGGCUUGAGGCCGGGAGGGGGGUAGCGGAAUUCCCAGUGUAGCGGUGAAAUGCGUAGAUAUUGGGAGGAACACCAGUGGCGAAGGCGGCUACCUGGACCGGUUCUGACGCUGAUGCGCGAAAGCGUGGGUAGCAAACAGG